GCGAAACCUUUACACUGCACGCCAGUGCGAUAAGGGGAUCCCAAGUGCGCAGGCAUAGAGCCUGCGCUUUUGUACACCGUAGGGAGGUGUACGAAUAAGGGCUGGGCAAGACCGGUGCCAGCCGCCGCGGUAAUACCGGCAGCCCGAGUGAUGGCCGAUCUUAUUGGGCCUAAAGCGUCCGUAGCUGGCCGCGCAAGUCCAUCGGAAAAUCCACCCGCUCAACGGGUGGGCGUCCGGUGGAAACUGCGUGGCUUGGGACCGGAAGGCGCGACGGGUACGUCCGGGGUAGGAGUGAAAUCCCGUAAUCCUGGACGGACCGCCGAUGGCGAAAGCACGUCGCGAGGACGGAUCCGACAGUGAGGGACGAAAGCCAGGGUCUCGAACCGGAUUAGAUACCCGGGUAGUCCUGGCCGUAAACAAUGCCUGUUAGGUGUGGCUCCCACUACGAGUGGGUGCUGUGCCGUAGGGAAGCCGCUAAACAGACCGCCUGGGAAGUACGUCCGCAAGGAUGAAACUUAAAGGAAUUGGCGGGGGAGCACUACAACCGGAGGAGCCUGCGGUUUAAUUGGAAUCA
rnacentral:rRNA from 1 species